rnacentral:lncRNA from 1 species
AUAAGUCUUAUAAAAUAUAUAGAUUUAUGAUAAUUAAGACUGAGCUAACAGAUGAGGAAUCCUAGCCAUUGACCAGGCAACUUUGAACCUAAUACAAGUUUCUGUGUACUCAUUUGGGCUUAACUGGGGUGGGCGACUGGCGUAAAGCUCACAAGUGGUAGUGGGGCUCAGCUGGCUUUGGAGGAAAGAUUUAUUGUAACAUAGCAGUGUAUAAGUAAUCUGAUCAGGGAAAUGGGAAAGGGGGCUCUAAUUAGAGAGGGGAAUGGAGAUAAGUACAGAAGAAAGAUGGUAAAAUAACAGCAAGGAUUUCUGAAAAAGCCAUGAGAAAACAUAUUAACUACCAAAAGCAAGUAAGCAAACAAACAAACAAACAAAAUAUCCCCCAAAACUACAGUGCACAUAAGUCUAUAUAAAAUUAAUGUAUAGUUUAAUUAAAUUUUUUUAUCUGUGCCCUUCUUCACUUAGAGUGAUGCCAUUCCUGGACAGGUCCUUGCCUUGAAUUCUGUCAUCAAGGACUGUAACCUGUACGCCAGCCCAGGCCUGUGAACGGACUUCAGCAACAAUUAAGACCCACACAAUACAAUCCACUGGGGCAGGUGGAACUCAGUCAAACACAGCCCAGGAUUUCUAGAUCCUACCCAUGAGAGGACUCUAGCAACACCUCUCAACCAACCAGGAGCCCACCGAGGCAUGGAGAGGUAGGGCAGUGUUAUGAUCUUUUUGUGAUGAACAAGCAUGAUUUUUCCCAGCACCAUGAUGGACUGAACAGAUUAAGGAAAAGCACAUGCAGGCCUGGGGUGGUCCUGCCAGUGAUCCAAGGAGAAAACGUGUCCACCUAGCACCUUGCAGUACCAGGUAGAUGGGCACUAUUGUGUGAGCAAAUGUAUUGUGUGAUAUGGGAGAAAGAGACAGAAUGGUUUAUGUCCCAUGAACAGGCAUAUCUUAAGAGGUGACUUUGCAAUGAACACUUGCAAGUGAAGAUAUAUGGAUAGAAGGAUUUACUGCAGGACUCACUAUGUCAUACUGCAGCUUCAAUGAUGAAGAGUUUUCAUUUUUUUCUUUUAAAAUUUAUUCUAUGGGGGGUGUUGCACAGGCAGAGGGCAGAUAUUAAGGAAUGGGGAAAUGAAUGGGAUCAAGAUGCAUUAUGUGAAAGACACAAAGAACAAAUAAAAAGAAAGUAAAAAUAGUUAACUAUAGAAUUAGGGACUAAAUUCUGAAUUUAGAUCUAAAGAAAAUAGAUUUGCUGUCCCCUGGCCAACUUAGAAGUUCAUUUCUUUUCUUUGUCAUGACUGAAGAUUGAGUCUUCCAGGGUGAAGGUCCCAAAGCAGAAAGAGAACUCUUAGGGGUGCUGAUGGCAGUGCUGGCUGCUUCUCUCUGCUAUUUUUUGUUUCGUAUUUCAAUUACUGUUACUUUCCUGUAUAUGUUGCUGUUACUAAACCUUCUUCUUCUAGUUGAGGGGGUUCCCCUUAUUAUUUUAAACUCAAGUCUGUGAGUAUUGAAUGGGCAUACAUGUGAACAGGAUAUGAUGUCGU